rnacentral:rRNA from 1 species
GAUCAUGGCUCAGGGUGAACGCUAGCUACAGGCUUAACACAUGCAGGUCGAGGGGCAUCAGGAAGAAAGCUUGCUUUCUUUGCUGGCGACCGGCGCACGGGUGAGUAACACGUAUCCAACCUGCCCUUUACUCGGGGAUAGCCUUUCGAAAGAAAGAUUAAUACCCGAUAGCAUAAUGAUUCCGCAUGGUUUCAUUAUUAAAGGAUUCCGGUAAAGGAUGGGGAUGCGUUCCAUUAGGUUGUUGGUGAGG